AUGAUGCCGGUCGCGCAAGCGACAGAAGUGACUGGCACCAGGAGACAAGAAAAGACCGUUCGGCAGUGAAGCACGCUGCCCGUACCACAAACCGACACAGGUAGAUGGGUUGAGAAUACCAAGGCGAGCGGGAGAACCUUCGUUAAGGAACUAGGCAAAAUGGCCCCGUAACUUCGGGAGAAGGGGCGCCAGCGCAAGCUGGCCGCAGCAAAAAGACUCUAUCGACUGUUUACCAAAAACACAGGUCUCUGCAAACGCGAAAGCGGACGUAUAGGGGCUGACACCUGCCCAGUGCCGGAAGGUUUAGAGGAGCGGUUAGGGGCAACCCGAAGCUGCGAAUUGAAGCCCCGGUGAACGGCGGCCGUAACUAUAACGGUCCUAAGGUAGCGAAAUUCCUUGUCGGGUAAGUUCCGACCCGCACGAAAGGUGUAACGAGUGGAGUACUGUCUCAACGAGGGACCCGGCGAAAUUGAAGUACGUGUAAAGAUGCGCGUUACCCGCAGCAGGACAAAAAGACCCUGUGGAGCUUUACUGUAGCCUGUCAUUGCGUUAGGGCAUGGCUUGUGUAGCAUAGCUGGGAGGCUGGGAAGCCUGGUCGCUAGACUGGGUGGAGCCGACAGUGAAAUACCAGCCUGGCAAUGUUUUGACCCUAACCGCGGACGUUGAAGCACGUUCCGGGACAGUGGCAGGUGGGCAGUUUGACUGGGGCGGUCGCCUCCGAAAAGGUAACGGAGGCGCUCAAAGGUUGGCUCAGGCGGAAUGGAAACCCGCCGCAGAGUGUAAAGGCAUAAGCCAGCUUGACUGCAAGGCCAACGCGCCGAGCAGAGACGAAAGUCGGACUUAGUGAUCCCACGGCGCUGAGUGGAAGGGCCGUGGCUUACCGGAUAAAAGCUACCCCGGGGAUAACAGGCUAGUCUUGUCCAAGAGUUCACAUCGACGACAAGGCUCGGCACCUCGAUGUCGGCUCAUCGCAUCCUGGGGCUGGAUAAGGUCCCAAGGGUUGGGCUGUCCGCCCAUUAAAGCGGUACGUGAGCUGGGUUCAGACCGUCGUGAGACAGGUCGGUCUCUAUCCGCUGUGGGCGUUGGGAAUUUGAGAGGCACUGCCCCUAGUACGAGAGGACCGGGGUGGACGAAGCGCCUGUGAGUCGGUUGUCACGCCAGUGGCAUGGCCGAGUAGCAGACUUCGGAGCUGAUAACCGCUGAAAGCAUCUAAGUGGGAAACAGACCUCAAGAUGAGAUUCCCCA
rnacentral:rRNA from 1 species